AUUGAACGCUGGCGGCAGGCCUAACACAUGCAAGUCGAGCGGAUGAAGGGAGCUUGCUCCUGGAUUCAGCGGCGGACGGGUGAGUAAUGCCUAGGAAUCUGCCUGGUAGUGGGGGAUAACGUCCGGAAACGGGCGCUAAUACCGCAUACGUCCUGAGGGAGAAAGUGGGGGAUCUUCGGACCUCACGCUAUCAGAUGAUCCUAGGUCGGAUUAGCUAGUUGGUGGGGUAAAGGCCUACCAAGGCGACGAUCCGUAACUGGUCUGAGAGGAUGAUCAGUCACACUGGAACUGAGACACGGUCCAGACUCCUACGGGAGGCAGCAGUGGGGAAUAUUGGACAAUGGGCGAAAGCCUGAUCCAGACAUGCCGCGUGUGUGAAGAAGGUCUUCGGAUUGUAAAGCACUUUAAGUUGGGAGGAAGGGCAGUAAGUUAAUACCUUGCUGUUUUGACGUUACCAACAGAAUAAGCACCGGCUAACUUCGUG
rnacentral:rRNA from 1 species